rnacentral:rRNA from 1 species
GACGAACGCUGGCGGCGUGCUUAACACAUGCAAGUCGAACGGAAAGGCCCUGCUUUUGUGGGGUGCUCGAGUGGCGAACGGGUGAGUAACACGUGAGUAACCUGCCCUUGACUUUGGGAUAACUUCAGGAAACUGGGGCUAAUACCGGAUAGGAGCUCCUGCUGCAUGGUGGGGGUUGGAAAGUUUCGGCGGUUGGGGAUGGACUCGCGGCUUAUCAGCUUGUUGGUGGGGUAGUGGCUUACCAAGGCUUUGACGGGUAGCCGGCCUGAGAGGGUGACCGGCCACAUGGGGACUGAGAUACGGCCCAGACUCCUACGGGGGGCAGCAGUGGGGAAUAUUGCACAAUGGGCGGAAGCCUGAUGCAGCAACGCCGCGUGCGGGAUGACGGCCUUCGGGUUGUAAACCGCUUUCGCCUGUGACGAAGCGUGAGUGACGGUAAUGGGUAAAGAAGCACCGGCUAACUACGU